rnacentral:rRNA from 1 species
GAUGAACGCUGGCGGCGUGCCUAAUACAUGCAAGUCGAGCGAACAGACGAGGAGCUUGCUCCUCUGACGUUAGCGGCGGACGGGUGAGUAACACGUGGAUAACCUACCUAUAAGACUGGGAUAACUUCGGGAAACCGGAGCUAAUACCGGAUAAUAUAUUGAACCGCAUGGUUCAAUAGUGAAAGACGGUUUUGCUGUCACUUAUAGAUGGAUCCGCGCCGCAUUAGCUAGUUGGUAAGGUAACGGCUUACCAAGGCAACGAUGCGUAGCCGACCUGGGAGGGUGGUCGGCCACACUGGAACUGAGACGCGGUCCAGGCUCCUGCGGGAGGCAGCAGUAGGGAAUCUUCCGCAAUGGGCGAAAGCUUGACGGAGCAACGCCGCGUGAGUGAUGAAGGUCUUCGGAUCGUAAAGCUCUGUUAUUAGGGAAGAACAAAUGUGUAAGUAACUAUGCACGUCUUGACGGUACCUAAUCAGAAAGCCACGGCUAACUACGUG